rnacentral:rRNA from 1 species
AUUGAACGCUGGCGGCAUGCCUUACACAUGCAAGUCGAACGGCAGCGGACCUUCGGGUGCCGGCGAGUGGCGAACGGGUGGAGUAAUAUAUCGGAACGGUACCUUUCUAGUGGGGGAGUAACGUAGCGAAAGUUAACGUCUAAUACCGCAUAUUCUGUGAGCAGGAAAGCAGGGGAGUCGCAAGACCUUGCGCUGAUUGAGCGGCCGAUAUCAGAUUAGCUAGUUGGUGAGGUAAGGACUCACCAAGGACGACGAUCUGUAGCGGGUCGUGAGAGGAUGAUCCGCCACACUGGAACUGAGACACGGUCCAGACUCCUACGGGAGGCAGCAGUGGGGAAUUUUGGACAAUGGGCGCAAGCCUGAUCCAGCCAUGCCGCGUGAGUGAAGAAGGCC